GAGAUGAGCCCUAAAAAGCCCUUAAAACACAAAGGCUUGGUCCUGGUCUUAAAAUCAAUUUUUACUUAACUUACACAUGCAAGCCUCCGCACCCCCGUGAAAACGCCCUUAAACCCCUCCAGGGGCAAGGAGCUGGAAUCAGGCACAAUAAUUUGCCCAAGACACCUAGCCAUGCCACACCCACAAGGGUCAUCAGCAGUGAUUAAUAUUAAAUAUAAACGUCAGUUUGACUUAGUCAAAGUAAAAAGAGCCGGCAAAACUGGUGCCAGCCGCCGCGGUUACACCACGAGACUCGAAUUGAUUUACAUCGGCGUAAAGCGUGAUUAAAGCCCCAAACACCUUAGGGCUAAGACUGAACUAAGCUGUGACAUGCUUGUCUACUAAAAACCCAUACACGAAAGUUACCCUAAUUCAACCAACUUGAACUCACGAUACCUGGGGCCCAAACUGGGAUUAGAUACCCCACUAUGCCCAGGCCUAAACUUUAAAUUACACCCAUCCUCGCCCGGGAAUUACGAGCAACGCUUAAAACCCAAAGGACUUGACGGUACCCCAUACCCACCUAGAGGAGCCUGUCCUAUAAUUGAUAACCCCCGCUAUACCUUACCACUUUUUGCCUUUCAGCUUGUAUACUUCCGUCUUCAGCUUACCCCGUGAGAGCGACUCAGUGAGCUCAGUGUCAACCCCAACAAUACGUCAGGUCAAAGUGCAGCUAAUAAAGUGGAAAGAGAUGGGCUACACUCUCUAAUAUAGAGAAAACGAAAGACUAUGCUGAAAUCAUAUCCAAAGGCGGAUUUAGAAGUAAAAAGAAAACAAAGAGUUCUUUUUAACCCGGCCCUGGGGUGUGUACACACCGCCCGUCACCCUCUUCGAUAAAACACAGACUAGUAUAUAACACAUUUUUUUAAAAAGAAGAGGCAAGUCGUAACAUGGUAAGUAUACCGGAAGGUGUGCUUGGAUACAAAAUAUAGCUUAAUAAAAGCAGCUUGCUUACACCAAGCUAAUGUCUGUUAAAACCUAACUAUUUUGA
rnacentral:ncRNA from 1 species